AGUUUGUUACUCAAUGUGUCACAGAAACUGUUGAGUUAUAUUCUCUGAAUGGAGUGUUGAAUCUGAUUCGUCGAUUAAGUUGUAGGGUCCCCAGUUAUGAAGCUUUGUUGCUCUUGAUUACAGAGUUUUGUAAUGACAUUGAUCCAAGACUUUGUAGAGAAGCAAUGAAAGCACUAGCCAUUACAAAUGCAGUUACAAAUAAUGGAAGAGGGUGUAUAUGUACUAAGGUGUGUGGCUUAUUGAAUGAUGAUGAUCAGUCUGUUUUGUACAUUUACAUGUACAUCAAGCUAAUUCAUUCAUUGGGACUCUCAUGGAAAGAAAGAUACUGUACAUAUAUACAGUAGAAUGACCUUAUACGUACAUGUGUACAUGCAUGUACAUUACCAUACCUUAUUCAAUGGACCCCAGUGUUACUCUAUUAUUAGAGGAUGCUGCAUUCAUAAAGACAUGCGGUAUGGUAACUGAUGGAUCCCUUCAGACUCUGGACCAGAAACGAAUCUUGCACCUUUGUUAUGUGAAGAGUGAUCAUGAU